CACGUGUCUCUCUGCGCGCUGGGCCCGGGCGGGACAGAGCCAUGGGGGGAGGGGCCGGACGCCUGGGUUCCCGGGGGGGGCGCCUCACUCCCGCCCCGCAGCCCCGGCCUGGGCGGUGGUGAUGUGCAGUGCUGGAGCUGAGGACUCUGGGGCAUCUGGCUGGAUUCUCGCCCCAUGUCUAUCUCUGACCUGAGCCCAGCAUGGUGAGACCCCCGGGUUCUCUGGAUGGAGAGCCUAUGGCCAGAACAGCGCAGAGGCAGGGCGGUGGUGAUGUGCAGUGCUGGAGCUGAGGACUCUGGGGCAUCUGGCUGGAUUCUCGCCCCAUGUCUAUCUCUGACCUGAGCCCAGCAUGGUGAGACCCCCGGGAUCUCUGGAUGGAGAGCCUAUGGCCAGAACAGCGCAGAGGCAGGGUUCUGUGACACUCGGCCUCAGCCCAGGAGCCUCCCAGCUAUCUGGGUAAGUUUGGAAGGGGCUAGGUCGCUGCCGGCGUUGGCUACAGAGAGGAGAAUCCAGGGCCCUGCUCGGUGGGGGACGGGAACUGAAAGGAGAAGUGGGGGGAGCGCCCAGCCCCCACCCCCGCCUGCGUCGCUGUUCAGUGCGGACAGGAGCCGGCCCCCCCAGCGUCCUGGGGGGGGAGCCUGGGAGCGUCACACACACAACUGGGCUGGCGCCUCAAUAAACAAUUGUGCCACAAA